rnacentral:miRNA from 1 species
CAUUGGAUCGUUCGAUUCCC